rnacentral:lncRNA from 1 species
CUCAGAGAGUUGGCGCUCUCAUCCUCCUCCUUCACACGGAACUGGCCAAGCUUGGUCACUGUCACCUUCUAAGGUCCCGCAAGAUGUGAGCGACCCUUAUCUAAAUUCUCCCAUGGAGUCUUCCAUAUCUGGCAAUACAGCGGGCUACAUGUCCUAAGGAACUUUCCCGGCAGAGAAUAUUCAGUAAACUGGCACAAUAUUCAAACACCUUUUGGAAAUGCACAGGUGAGUCAGCGGAAAGGCAAGGGGAAUUACUAGAGGCUGGAAAUGAGAAAACAGAAUCCAGAGAGUCAGGCGAGCUGCACUAAGUAUUAAGUGAUUGUUUCUCAGCUCAAACCUACCCUCUACAACUCAUCUCUGUGAUCUGGGCCCGCACUUGGCAAACCACCUUUCUGCUUCCCUAGCUGAUCGUGACCAGGCUCUGCCAAUAGGGGGGGCAAGAGAGAGAGUUUGCAAGGCUGCAGGAGGGAGGAAGGACCAGCUUCUCGUGCAUUGCAGAUCCUGUGAGCAUCACCCCCAGUUAAGCUUCUGCUGCUGCAGUGGUUCCUGCCUGCAGCAGCA